UACGUAGGAGGCUAGCGUUGUCCGGAUUUACUGGGCGUAAAGGGCGUGUAGGCGGCUUGGGAAGUCCCUUGUGAAAUCUCCCGGCUCAACCGGGAGGCGUCGAGGGAUACUUCCAGGCUAGAGGGCAGUAGAGGAGAGUGGAAUUCCCGGUGUAGUGGUGAAAUGCGUAGAUAUCGGGAGGAACACCCGUGGCGAAAGCGGCUCUCUGGACUGUACCUGACGCUGAGGCGCGAAAGCGUGGGGAGCAAACCGG
rnacentral:rRNA from 1 species